rfam:Angiostrongylus cantonensis strain Taiwan genome assembly, scaffold: ACAC_contig0008785
GCCUCGUUAGCUCAGUUGGAAGAGCGUUAGACUUUUAACCUAACGGUCAAGUGUUCGAGUACCCUACGGAGCU